rnacentral:rRNA from 1 species
UACGAAGGGGGCUAGCGUUGCUCGGAAUUACUGGGCGUAAAGCGCGCGCAGGUGGUCUUUCAAGUCAGUGGUGAAAGCCCGGAGCUCAACUCCGGAAAUGCCAUUGAAACUGUAAGACUUGAGGAUGAGAGAGGUGAGUGGAAUUCCCAGUGUAGAGGUGAAAUUCGUAGAUAUUGGGAAGAACACCGGUGGCGAAGGCGGCUCACUGGCUCAUAUCUGACGCUCAGGCGCGACAGCGUGGGGAUCAAACAGG